GACGAACGCUGGCGGCGUGCCUAAUACAUGCAAGUUGAGCGCUGAAGGUUGGUACUUGUACCGACUGGAUGAGCAGCGAACGGGUGAGUAACGCGUGGGGAAUCUGCCUUUGAGCGGGGGACAACAUUUGGAAACGAAUGCUAAUACCGCAUAAAAACUUUGAACACAAGUUUUAAGUUUGAAAGAUGCAAUUGCAUCACUCAAAGAUGAUCCCGCGUUGUAUUAGCUAGUUGGUGAGGUAAAGGCUCACCAAGGCGAUGAUACAUAGCCGACCUGAGAGGGUGAUCGGCCACAUUGGGACUGAGACACGGCCCAAACUCCUACGGGAGGCAGCAGUAGGGAAUCUUCGGCAAUGGACGAAAGUCUGACCGAGCAACGCCGCGUGAGUGAAGAAGGUUUUCGGAUCGUAAAACUCUGUUGGUAGAGAAGAACGUUGGUGAGAGUGGAAAGCUCAUCAAGUGACGGUAACUACCCAGAAAGGGACGGCUAACUACGUG
rnacentral:rRNA from 1 species